rnacentral:rRNA from 1 species
CCCUACGGGGCGCAGCAGUAGGGAAUCUUCCACAAUGGACGAAAGUCUGAUGGCGCAACGCCGCGUGAGUGAAGAAGGGUUUCGGCUCGUAAAGCUCUGUUGGUAGUGAAGAAAGAUAGAGGUAGUAACUGGCCUUUAUUUGACGGUAAUUACUUAGAAAGUCACGGCUAACUACGUGCCAGCAGCCGCGGUAAUACGUAGGUGGCAAGCGUUGUCCGGAUUUAUUGGGCGUAAAGCGAGUGCAGGCGGUUCUAUAAAUCUGUUGUUAAAAAC